ACAAGGUGAGGCUAAGUCUUAAGAAAAACAGUUUGCAGGUGAACAUCCUACCAGACCAGCGACUGGCUUGGACAGGGAGGUGGCUGCAUCACCAGAAUUGUUCUACAUCAUUUCUGGACCAGUUUACUCAAGUCAAAAACCAGAGAGAAAAUAGACUGGAAAAAACAAAACCUAAUUACAAGAGCCUUUGGGAACUAUGGAACAACAACGAAAGAUCCAAAACUCACAUCACUGGAGAUCCAGAAGGAAAACAGGAAAAGAGUUAGAUCGAAAGAGCAUUUUUUUUAAUGGCUGAAAAUUUCUCAACUUUGGUAAAAGGUAUAAGUCUACAGACUUAAGAAACUACACAAUCUCCAAAUAUGGGAAGUCCAAAGAAAUGCAAACCACAACACAUUGUCUGUGGUAACCCUGCAUCAAGCAAGUCUCAGCACCAGUUUUCCAACAGAUCUGUCACUGUGUGUCUCUAUGGCACACUUUGAUAACACUCACAAUAUUUCAACCUUUUUCAUUACUAUUGCAUUUGUUUGGUGUUCUGUGAUCAGUGAGUUUUGAUGUUUCUACAAUGACUCACCCAAGGCUCAGAUGAUGGCUAGCCUUAUUUAUUAGUAAAGUAUUUUUUAAUUAAGAUAUGUACAUUCUUUCAGAAAUAAUGCUACUGCACACUAAAUAAACUAU